rnacentral:rRNA from 1 species
UAGGGAAUCUUCCACAAUGGACGCAAGUCUGAUGGAGCAACGCCGCGUGAGUGAAGAAGGUUUUCGGAUCGUAAAGCUCUGUUGUGGUGAAGAAGGAUAGAGGCAGUAACUGGUCUUUAUUUGACGGUAAUCAACCAGAAAGUCACGGCUAACUACGUGCCAGCAGCCGCGGUAAUACGUAGGUGGCAAAGCGUUGUCCGGAUUUAUU